rnacentral:miRNA from 1 species
AAGAGCGGGUAGCUGGAGGCA